rnacentral:other from 1 species
AAAACCCUGCUGUGCACGUGCCGCUUUAUAUUUUGAACCAACACCUUUAUAAAGGGAGUUUAAAAGCGGUUCUUGGAAGCAAUGCCCUUUUUAGGGACUGAUGACGGGAGCUGCAAGGACACCCACCUGCAAUUAUGCAGACUCAAAAUACAGCAUUAAACGACAUGGUGGGGCGAAU